GGGUUGUGAGGUUAAGCGACUAAGCGUACACGGUGGAUGCCCUGGCAGUCAGAGGCGAUGAAGGACGUGCUAAUCUGCGAUAAGCGUCGGUAAGGUGAUAUGAACCGUUAUAACCGGCGAUUUCCGAAUGGGGAAACCCAGUGUGUUUCGACACACUAUCAUUAACUGAAUCCAUAGGUUAAUGAGGCGAACCGGGGGAACUGAAACAUCUAAGUACCCCGAGGAAAAGAAAUCAACCGAGAUUCCCCCAGUAGCGGCGAGCGAACGGGGAGCAGCCCAGAGCCUGAAUCAGUGUGUGUGUUAGUGGAAGCGUCUGGAAAGGCGCGCGAUACAGGGUGACAGCCCCGUACACAAAAAUGCACAUGCUGUGAGCUCGAUGAGUAGGGCGGGACACGUGGUAUCCUGUCUGAAUAUGGGGGGACCAUCCUCCAAGGCUAAAUACUCCUGACUGACCGAUAGUGAACCAGUACCGUGAGGGAAAGGCGAAAAGAACCCCGGCGAGGGGAGUGAAAAAGAACCUGAAACCGUGUACGUACAAGCAGUGGGAGCACAGAGCAAUCUGUGUGACUGCGUACCUUUUGUAUAAUGGGUCAGCGACUUAUAUUCUGUAGCAAGGUUAACCGAAUAGGGGAGCCGAAGGGAAACCGAGUCUUAACUGGGCGUUAAGUUGCAGGGUAUAGACCCGAAACCCGGUGAUCUAGCCAUGGGCAGGUUGAAGGUUGGGUAACACUAACUGGAGGACCGAACCGACUAAUGUUGAAAAAUUAGCGGAUGACUUGUGGCUGGGGGUGAAAGGCCAAUCAAACCGGGAGAUAGCUGGUUCUCCCCGAAAGCUAUUUAGGUAGCGCCUCGUGAAUUCAUCUCCGGGGGUAGAGCACUGUUUCGGCAAGGGGGUCAUCCCGACUUACCAACCCGAUGCAAACUGCGAAUACCGGAGAAUGUUAUCACGGGAGACACACGGCGGGUGCUAACGUCCGUCGUGAAGAGGGAAACAACCCAGACCGCCAGCUAAGGUCCCAAAGUCAUGGUUAAGUGGGAAACGAUGUGGGAAGGCCCAGACAGCCAGGAUGUUGGCUUAGAAGCAGCCAUCAUUUAAAGAAAGCGUAAUAGCUCACUGGUCGAGUCGGCCUGCGCGGAAGAUGUAACGGGGCUAAACCAUGCACCGAAGCUGCGGCAGCGACGCNNNNNNNNNNNNNNNNNNNNNNNNNNNNNNNNNNNNNNNNNNNNNNNNNNNNNNGGUAUGCUGGAGGUAUCAGAAGUGCGAAUGCUGACAUAAGUAACGAUAAAGCGGGUGAAAAGCCCGCUCGCCGGAAGACCAAGGGUUCCUGUCCAACGUUAAUCGGGGCAGGGUGAGUCGACCCCUAAGGCGAGGCCGAAAGGCGUAGUCGAUGGGAAACAGGUUAAUAUUCCUGUACUUGGUGUUACUGCGAAGGGGGGACGGAGAAGGCUAUGUUGGCCGGGCGACGGUUGUCCCGGUUUAAGCGUGUAGGCUGGUUUUCCAGGCAAAUCCGGAAAAUCAAGGCUGAGGCGUGAUGACGAGGCACUACGGUGCUGAAGCAACAAAUGCCCUGCUUCCAGGAAAAGCCUCUAAGCAUCAGGUAACAUCAAAUCGUACCCCAAACCGACACAGGUGGUCAGGUAGAGAAUACCAAGGCGCUUGAGAGAACUCGGGUGAAGGAACUAGGCAAAAUGGUGCCGUAACUUCGGGAGAAGGCACGCUGAUAUGUAGGUGAAGUCCCUCGCGGAUGGAGCUGAAAUCAGUCGAAGAUACCAGCUGGCUGCAACUGUUUAUUAAAAACACAGCACUGUGCAAACACGAAAGUGGACGUAUACGGUGUGACGCCUGCCCGGUGCCGGAAGGUUAAUUGAUGGGGUUAGCGCAAGCGAAGCUCUUGAUCGAAGCCCCGGUAAACGGCGGCCGUAACUAUAACGGUCCUAAGGUAGCGAAAUUCCUUGUCGGGUAAGUUCCGACCUGCACGAAUGGCGUAAUGAUGGCCAGGCUGUCUCCACCCGAGACUCAGUGAAAUUGAACUCGCUGUGAAGAUGCAGUGUACCCGCGGCAAGACGGAAAGACCCCGUGAACCUUUACUAUAGCUUGACACUGAACAUUGAGCCUUGAUGUGUAGGAUAGGUGGGAGGCUUUGAAGUGUGGACGCCAGUCUGCAUGGAGCCGACCUUGAAAUACCACCCUUUAAUGUUUGAUGUUCUAACGUUGACCCGUGAUCCGGGUUGCGGACAGUGUCUGGUGGGUAGUUUGACUGGGGCGGUCUCCUCCUAAAGAGUAACGGAGGAGCACGAAGGUUGGCUAAUCCUGGUCGGACAUCAGGAGGUUAGUGCAAUGGCAUAAGCCAGCUUGACUGCGAGCGUGACGGCGCGAGCAGGUGCGAAAGCAGGUCAUAGUGAUCCGGUGGUUCUGAAUGGAAGGGCCAUCGCUCAACGGAUAAAAGGUACUCCGGGGAUAACAGGCUGAUACCGCCCAAGAGUUCAUAUCGACGGCGGUGUUUGGCACCUCGAUGUCGGCUCAUCACAUCCUGGGGCUGAAGUAGGUCCCAAGGGUAUGGCUGUUCGCCAUUUAAAGUGGUACGCGAGCUGGGUUUAGAACGUCGUGAGACAGUUCGGUCCCUAUCUGCCGUGGGCGCUGGAGAACUGAGGGGGGCUGCUCCUAGUACGAGAGGACCGGAGUGGACGCAUCACUGGUGUUCGGGUUGUCAUGCCAAUGGCACUGCCCGGUAGCUAAAUGCGGAAGAGAUAAGUGCUGAAAGCAUCUAAGCACGAAACUUGCCCCGAGAUGAGUUCUCCCUGACUCCUUGAGAGUCCUGAAGGAACGUUGAAGACGACGACGUUGAUAGGCCGGGUGUGUAAGCGCAGCGAUGCGUUGAGCUAACCGGUACUAAUGAACCGUGAGGCUUAACCUUACAACGCCGAAG
rnacentral:rRNA from 1 species